AACUAAAAAAUAUUCCCCCAAAAAUGUAUCUAAAAACUUCGAAUGGAACUUGAUAACGCUAAUGUUCCCUUUUCUGUUCUCACAAAAAAAUUGUUGCUGUUUUUAUGUUUUUGACGAGAUCAUUGACUCMUUCACGCAAGUCCUUUCACUUUCCAUUUCUUGAGAACCGAAAAUAAUCGCUCUCAGAUUUGCAAGCAACAGUUCGUCAUUUUGCUCUUAUAACAUAUCUCGUUUCAUAUUUGAAUCUAGGACAAACGCACACAAACGAAAGAUAAAUAACAAGGAUGGCGAAGGAGGGUGGAACGGUCAGAGUGUGUGGGUUACCCCUAGAUAUCAGUAAAAACAGACUGAUCGACAAGCUCCACAUUCAUUUCAUGCGGAAGAGGAAUGGAGGAGGGGACAUUUCAUCUGUCACGGUCUCCAAGACAACGCCCGGCUCUGCCUUCAUUACCUUUGAGGACAGCGAAGUGGCUCGGAGAGUGGUUGAACAUCAGAAUCACACAUUAUCAGUGAAUGACAAGCAAUAUGAGCUAAGUGUGAGUUUGCACAGCAAAGACGUUGACCCAGAUGAGCUCUUUGUGGACACAGCUGUGACAGUGGACUACAGCAAAUUGAAUGGGGGGAAAACAUCGAUAUCUAACAUCCUCAAAAAUGCCUGCGACAUAAAAUGCACCUUUCACGUUCAGGCUGACCUCUGCACUUUCAAAGGUCGCUACACAGAAGUCCAAAUCCUGACCAAGUGUCUGCUGAGACUUUUCAAUUCACAGACCUCAAAAGAUGUCCAUUCCCUUAAAGCUGAGGCCACCACCAAGGAUGACAAAAGAUACAACUCUGCUCAAGGACGAACAGAAAAACAGCAGGACACUGAGACCUCAGGACAGGCCAACGGACUGGAUCUGGGGAACGGUUCCAGUAGAGCCUCUGAGAGUAAUCGUGCCCUUCUUCAAGAAUCUUACACCAAUGAUAGAAAGGGGGCGGAUGCAUUGUACACAUCAUACACCAAUCAUAGAGAGGAAGCGGGGGCAUUGCAUACAUCUUACACCAGUGACAUAGAGGAUGCAGUGGCAUUAGAGAAGGGAACCUCAAUGGAGGACUUCUCAAUGGUCAUAGACUCAGACAUCUUCCGAUACCUCCGAAAGUACUGCUCGGCUGAGUACCAGAACAUCCUCGACAGGCAUGGAGUAGAGAUACUGGAUGUCGCCACCAGAGAUAUCACCACCCUCUACCUGCAGCUUAAGGCUGGGGCCACUGGGCGAGKUGUGGAGCAUCUAAGGCUUGCGCAUGGGGAGCUGGCCUGGCUGUACCAAGACAAAGAGGCCCAACUUCGCAAGGAGCAGUUGGCUAAGGAAAGCUUCCCCGGGUUGGGGCUCCAGCAGGCUUUUAAAACCUUAACGCAGAGAUUCACAAAGCUGCUGAUCAAUGAAGACAAGUCCAAUGUCUAUCUGGUGGGCAGUGGAAGUGACGUGUCGGAGGCCAAGCAGUUCCUAUUGGAAAUGCAAGGGACAACAAAGGAGCACGGUCAAGAGUUACUUCACUCCUCAGGAGAUGCGUCUCUACCCUUUGUCCCUGACACCAAGCUUAGAAAAGAAAGGGCUGUGAGGAGCAAAGAAUUCAAAAUGGCUGCCACAUUUGGGAGAACUAUGGGUUCUGAGAAACCUAAAGAUGAUGAGAAUUGGUCCAGCUUGAGUGACGUAAAGGCUCCUGRGGAUCACCAGAUAAAUAGUUUCUCGUCCACAAAACCCAUUAGAAUGAAUGACCAGAAAUUAGGUAGUGGACCAAUUUCAGGGAUUACGAGUCAGAAUGUUGAAAUKUCAAGUUCUGGUCCAAGGGAUCUCCAGGAAGACACCCUCUUCAAAAGGUAUGAACCAUUGUCSACUGCUUCCUUGUCUGGUAAACCCCCUCUGAACUUGGCACAAAACAAUGAAACCAGACCCACAAAAGCAGCAAACUUUAGUGAAUUCCAGGGCUACUCAAUGGAUGAUAUGGACAUGUCUGUGGAUAGGGCGGUUCCAACUGGCGUAGUCCAACAAUCCAAGUCAAUUUCCACUCUGAGACGGUCCAACAGUUUCUCAGGGCAGGUUAGGACCAAACAAGUCAGAAAGGACAGCAGCUCAGCUGUAGACCUGUUUGGAAAGACCAAAGGAGGCGAAACUACUAGUCACCCAGAGACUAGGCAAGUCUUCAGUGUAGAGCUGGUGGUGCCCACAACUCAAUGGUUAUACACAAAGGAUGUUUUCCGCAUACUGCUAGAGGAAGUAACCUCUGACCUGCAGAUGAAGGAGAAAAAAACAUUAAAUGAGGUCGUCCUCCAACUGAGAGGGAAAGAUCCAGCCAACGUCAGGGUGUGUCAGCAGGUGCUGAAAAAGCUGAUUGCCAAGGUGGCCGAGGACUUCUCCACCCAUGAGCUGUUGUUAACACAGCUGGGUGUGUCAGACUCGAAGAAUGAGACAGUUGAGGUGUUAUGCACCACUGUGAGAGAGACAUGGGAGAAAGUGAAAAUCAUUCCAAUGCCAAAUACUAAGAGCAUUUUAAUCUUUGGUCCAACACUGGAUUGUUUCGAGGCGAUAUCAUUUCUAAAAGAGAUGCUUCACUUUGGAACAGAGGGGGAACAGACCAUGAAAGAGAGACCCAUUGAUCUUAAGAAACCAUCUUCUGAUUCUCCAUCCAACCCUGACAUAAACCCCUCAGCAGCGCAUCAGAGCUCUGCCAGUAGUGACAAACAAGACCAGGAGACCACCUCUGCGACCGACAUUGUUUCAUCAGGGAGCUCGGAGGGAGUGAGCCAAUCAGGUGUGAAGAAAGUGCCUGUUUUGAAGCUUCGGUUAGGAGCAGCUGGUCCCGUAGAUGAAAAGAGUUUCAGGACAAUCAGUGCUCCCUAUAAAGCAGAGGGGUCACUAAGAGUGACAGAAGGAAAUGAUGCAGCACCAUUACCAGAGCACAGUGCUCAGAGGUUGACAGGGCCAAAGCCUGAGGAAAGCCAGAUACCUAACAGUAGGGGACUGCAGACCCAAAAGAACCAUAGCGAAGGAAAUGCCGGUUUGUCCUGUAUAUGUGGAACCGCAGGGGAAUCUGUAUCUUGGACGGCUGGUGGAAAAGCCAUGUGCCCAUCAUGCGUGGAAUGUACAAAGUCUCAUGCAAUGAAUCCGCAAAGCGCCUCCGCCAAACAUUACGGGGCAAGCCGGUCCAAUGAGAAGCAAGAUGUGAAAGACACCGAGGUGAAGGCCAGUCCAUCUUGUGUAGGUGGAACCACUGGGGAAUCUGUGUCUAUGACUGCUUGUGGCGGGGCCUUGUGCCAGAAUCACAUCCAUCCCGACUGUAAAGUACGCCCUAAAUCUAAGGAGGUUGUCGUGGGCAUCCGAGGGACCAUGACCCGCAGUGAGAUGUCCAUCAGUCUGAUUGGGUACAACAAGGAUACAACACUGAAGAUAACCUACAACAUUCCUGAUGGCAUCCAAGGGAAAGACCAUCCAAACCCUGGGGGAUCUUUCCAAGGGGGCACGUUCCAUGCCUUCCUGCCUCUGAAUGAAACGACUCUCAAGCUUCUGCCAUGCCUCGAACGUGCCUUUCAUCGAGGCCUCACCUUCAAUGUGAGAGUAGGGGACACUAGGGAUUGUGUGACCUGGGGUAGCAUCCCACACAAGACCAGCAUCGAGGGAGGGUUUUCCAGGAAUGGAUACCCAGACUCAAGAUAUCUCAGAUGCUUAGCUGAGGCACUGAGGUCUCAUGGUAUCGAGGAGGGCUGAAAAACUGCAAUGGAUCAAGACCUGAGAAAAACCUCAAAACUGACCGAACAGCGCUUUAAAAAUCUACAGUUCCACUUUCAAGUCUGAGUUGUUUGGAGUGACACUUGGAAUAUACCGGUCUACUGGUCAGAAACAAAGUAACUACACAUCUACCACAAACAGAGCAAAMUAAAAAGAUCCCCCAAAGAAUGCUUACACUGAUUCGGUCAUGCUCUCCACAGCUCCAGUAUUGCGUUUAUACAGAAUAAUUCAAGGACUGUGUGCAGUACUGUUACUGAAGUGCAGGGGGAGCAAUUGGUCUGUAUUUGAGAUUGUCCAGAAUCCCAAGCAGGAUACUGUAUAUAGGACAGCUCAGGGCGUGAAAGC